UACGGGGGGAGCAAGCGUUGUUCGGAUUUACUGGGCGUAAAGGGCGCGUAGGCGGCGCAACAAGUCACUUGUGAAAUCUCCGGGCUUAACCCGGAGCGGUCAAGUGAUACUGUCGUGCUAGAGUGCGGAAGGGGCUACUGGAAUUCUCGGUGUAGCGGUGAAAUGCGUAGAUAUCAAGAGGAACACCUGAGGUGAAGACGGGUUGCUGGGCCGACACUGACGCUGAGUGCGCGAAAGCCAGGGGAGCAAACGGG
rnacentral:rRNA from 1 species